CCCGCCGCGCCGCCGCCGCCCUCUGCGCCCCGCGGCGCCCCCCGGUCCCGCCCGCCAUGCCCGGCCCGGCCGCGGGCAGCAGGGCCCGGGUCUACGCCGAGGUGAACAGCCUGAGGAGCCGCGAGUACUGGGACUAUGAGGCUCACGUCCCGAGCUGGGGUAAUCAAGAUGAUUACCAACUGGUUCGAAAACUUGGUCGGGGCAAGUAUAGUGAAGUAUUUGAGGCCAUUAACAUCACCAACAAUGAGAGAGUGGUUGUAAAAAUUCUCAAGCCAGUGAAGAAAAAGAAGAUAAAACGAGAGGUUAAGAUUCUGGAGAAUCUUCGUGGUGGAACAAAUAUCAUUAAGCUGAUUGACACUGUGAAGGACCCUGUGUCAAAGACGCCGGCUUUGGUAUUUGAAUAUAUCAAUAAUACAGAUUUUAAGCAACUAUACCAGAUCCUGACAGACUUUGAUAUCCGGUUUUAUAUGUAUGAGCUGCUUAAGGCUCUGGAUUACUGCCACAGCAAGGGAAUCAUGCACAGGGAUGUGAAACCUCACAACGUCAUGAUAGAUCAUCAACAGAAAAAGCUGCGACUGAUAGACUGGGGCCUGGCAGAGUUCUACCACCCUGCUCAGGAGUACAACGUCCGUGUAGCCUCGAGGUACUUCAAGGGCCCGGAGCUCCUCGUGGACUAUCAGAUGUAUGAUUACAGCUUGGACAUGUGGAGUUUGGGCUGUAUGUUAGCAAGCAUGAUCUUUCGAAAGGAGCCCUUCUUCCAUGGACAGGACAACUACGACCAGCUUGUUCGCAUUGCCAAGGUUCUGGGUACAGAUGAGCUGUAUGGCUAUCUGAAGAAGUAUCACAUAGACCUAGAUCCACACUUCAACGAUAUCCUGGGACAACAUUCACGGAAACGCUGGGAAAACUUUAUCCAUAGUGAGAACAGACAUCUCGUCAGCCCCGAGGCCCUAGAUCUUCUGGACAAACUUCUGCGAUAUGACCAUCAGCAGAGACUGACUGCCAAAGAGGCCAUGGAGCACCCAUACUUCUACCCUGUGGUGAAGGAGCAGUCCCAACCUUGUGCAGACAACGCUGUGCUUUCCAGUGGCCUCACGGCAGCCCGGUGAAGUCUGGAAGGCGAUGGGUCUGUUGCGGUUCCUCCCACUUUUCCAUAAGCAGAACAAGAACCAAAUCAAACGUCUUAACGUGUGUAGAGCGCGAUCACGUUCCGUGAGCAGACACAAAAUGGUGGCAGGUUUGGCGAGCACGAACCAGACCAACCGAAGGGCAGCCCGCCACCGUAUUUCAAACCUCACUUCUGAAUGUAAAAGGUUCACACGCCUUUGGCUUCCUGUUGACUUCCUCCUGACCCAGAAAGCAUGGGAAAUGUGAAGGGUGACUGUGGGAACGCAGGUGUGGACACUCACAGUUUCUGAAGCAAUUGUGGGGGGAAAGCAAAGAGGCCCCUCAGGGUCACCACGGCGUCACAGUGGCCCCUGGAGCAGCUUCUGUCGUAUCCAAGCAGUUCCACAGGUGUGGGAGCCCGAGACAGUGCCUGCCCCCCCCCGGCCCCCGGACACCAGCGAGGAGGGCCCGCAGGCCCACCGCCAGCAGACUUUGUAAGGCCGACAGGACAUCGAGUGGAUGGACUUGGGACUUUUCCAGCACCAUCACUGGCCUGGUCUUCUCAAGCAGGCACUCUCAUGCCGCGGCCCUUUUGACUCCAGGCUCUGCAGAUUUCUCUUGGUCUCCCAGGUCUCUGGGACAGCAUCUCAAUACCUCAUUAUAACGAGCACGUCCCCAAAGCUCCUGAGGACACGGUGCUUUGUGUGCACAUGUUUAUCUACAGAGCACGUUACCUCCGUGGUGACCCAUUGGCAUUUGAGGGCCUUCCCAGACCAGAAGGGGCUCUUCGGAGUAGAUACAGUUGAUUGACUUGGGAAUUCUUAGAUGCCAUGCAGAACUCAAAUGUUAGCUCCCCAUUUUUCUUCCCAGGGUGCUCUCUAACUUCCCAGUGGGAAAGUCUUGUUUUCUGGAAACCCCUCAAGCAUAUCAGAUGUUUCUUUUUUGUGGAUGAUUACUGUUGGGCGGAAGAGAGGUUGUAGAAUGAAGGGAAAGGAGGAAUUUUUGCUUAGGCUUUUUUGACCUUGAGAGAAGGGGACAAGGGACCUGCUUACCCAAAAACAGUCUAUAAAACUCAUCCACAAAGUGCUUGGCAAUUCAGAACAUCAGUUCACAUCUUUCAAUGGCCCUGCUUAUAUUUGGAUUGUUUAAAGUAACAUUUAUUUAUUCUGAUUACCAAAGUAAUAUAUGCUCAUGGUAAGAAAUUCUGAAAGCCUUCCCUUACCACAUGCCACGCGCCCACACACACACACACACACACACACACACACACACACACACACACUACUCUUUCCUCCCUUGGAGGUAACCAUAGUUAAUUUUGGCGUAUAUCUUAUAAUUUACUAACAUUUAAAAAUCAACGAUUUUUAUUUUUACAGAAAUGUAAUCAAACCACACAUUCUCUCUUUUUUGCAACUUGUGCUUUCGCUUAGUUGUGACAGUUUUACUGUUAGCACGUAUAGACCUACCUCACCCCUUUUUGUGGCCGCAUGGGGUUCCAUUGUGUGACGUACCACAGUUGAAGCAAUCCCUUCCUGAUGAGAGACUUUUACCAGUACUGUUACCAGUAUUGCUGCAAUGAACAAAUCUGCACAUACAUUUUUACACGGUAUGUUUGUGAGAUAAGAUCUUAAAAAGGAAAAACUGUGCUGUAUGUUUUGUUUCAGAAAGGGCACUGCUAUGAUUCAGAGAAAGCAGUCUUCUCUUCCCUUCUCUCACUGGUUUAGGUUGGAACUGGGAUGCCUUUAGUCAUGGAAUUCUUGUGAGGCUCUGUUAGGCACUGGGACAUGAUGCCCAGAGUCUUUGCACUUUCCAGGGAAACAGGAAUGUUUGAGACCUGAAAAAAAGAAAAGGUGUUGGCGCUAACAUAAGAAAGUUAUGAAAUAAAAAACUAAUAAAUGUAAUUACAUGUCUUUCCAAUCCUAUGAGCUUCAUUGUCAUUUGCUUUAAAAAAAUAUUUUUCUUGGGGUGCCUGGGUGGCUCAGUCGGUUGAGCAUCCUACUCUUGGUUUCGGCUCAAGUCAUGAUCCCAGGGUUGUGGAAUCAAGCCCAACACAUCAGGCUCCACACUCAGCAUGGAUUCUCAAUGUCUCUCUGUCUCUCUGUCUCUCUCUCUCCCUCUGCCCUUCUUCCCCACUGGUGUUCUCUCAUGCUUUUUAAUACAAAAAAUUUUUUUAAUAUUUUUUUCUUGAUGCGUGGGUGGCUCCGCCGGUUAAGUGGCCGACCAGCUCGGGACAUGAUCUCACGGUUCAUGAGUUCGAGCCUCGCAUCAGCUCAGUGCUGACAGCCUAGAGCCUGCUUCGGGUUCUGUGUCUCCCUGUCUCUCUGCCCCUCCCCUGCUCAUGCUCUGUCUCUCAAAACUGAAUAAACAUGGGGAAAAAAAUUUUUUUUAAUGUAUAUACUUUUUUCUUGGGGAACCUGGGUGGCUCAGUUGGUUGAGUGUCUGCUUCUUGGUUUUGGCUCAGGUCAUGAUCUCAUAGUUCCGUGGGUUCAAGCCCCACAUUGGGCUCCGUGCUAGCAGUGCAGAGCCUGCUUGGGAUUCUCUUUCUCUCUCCCUCUCUCCGCCCCUCCCCAACUCGCACUGUCUCUGUCUCUCUCAAAAUAAAUAAACUUAGAGAAAAAAACGUAGCUUUGGAAAAAUAUGCAUAUAUGUAUUUUUUCUCAUGAUAAUUAGUGGAGUCACAAUUACAAAAUCAAACAAUUUCAAAAGCAGUUUUAAAAGAUCUUUUCAAAAAUUACAGGGAAAAACUUACCUUAAGUAUGAAAAAUGGCUACUAUGGCUGCUAUGUUUGAAGUGCUGUAGGGAAGCCUUCGAAAGAAAGCACGCAGGGGCUGGCAGAGGGGUGGGUGUAGAAUGGAUGAGCAACACUGAGGAAUAAAGAAAAGCUGUUAAAAUGUGCAUCUCAAACGCAUUGUGAAGAAGUCAGACUCAAAAGGAUACUUAUUCCAUUUAUGUGACAUUCUGGAAAAGGCAAAAUGUAGGAAAUGGAGAACAGAUAAGUCUGUGGUUGCCAGGGUUUAAGCAUAGGUGAUAACAUGAGGAAAUUUGGGGGUUGAUGAAACUCUUCUGUAUCUUAAAUGUGGUGAUGGUUAUAUGACUUGGUGCCUUUGUCAAAACUGUACACCGGGGCACCUGGGUGGCUCAGUCAGUUAAGCAUCUGACUUCAGCUCAGGUCAUGAUCUCGCAGUUCGUGAGUUUGAGCCCCACGUCAGGCUCUGUGCUGACAGCUCGGAGCCUGGAGCCUGCUUCGGAUUCUGUGUCUCCCUUUCUCUCGGCUCUUCCCCUGCUCAUGCUCUGUCUCUCCCUUCCUCAAAAAUAAAUAGACACUUAAAAAAAUUUAAAAAAAA